UCCUGGCUCAGAACGAACGCUGGCGGCGUGCUUAAUACAUGCAAGUCGUGCGAGAACGGGGUCCUUCGGGGCCCUAGUAAAGCGGCGAACGGGUGCGUAACACGUGGGCAACCUGCCUAUCGGUUCGGGAUAAGCUCUCGAAAGGGGGUCUAAUACCGAAUGACAUCCAGGGAUGGCAUCUUUCCUGGCUCAAAGGCGCUGCAAGGCGCUGCCGAUAGAUGGGCCCGCGGCCCAUUAGCUAGUUGGUGAGGUAACGGCCCACCAAGGCUCCGAUGGGUAGCCGACCUGAGAGGGUGACCGGCCACACUGGGACUGAGAUACGGCCCAGACUCCUACGGGAGGCAGCAGUAGGGAAUAUUGCGCAAUGGAGGCAACUCUGACGCAGCAACGCCGCGUGGGUGAUGAAGCUCUUUGGAGUGUAAAGCCCUGUCGCCGGGGAAGAAACGGUGAAUGAGGAAAUGCAUUCGCCCUGACGGUACCCGGAGAGGAAGUUCCGGCUAACUCCGUGCCAGCAGCCGCGGUAA
rnacentral:rRNA from 1 species